GCAUGUGAGGGAGAUCUGGCUGCAACACCUGUCACCCCACUGAUCGCCAGGGUUGAUGUGGCUGAUCUGGCUGGCUGGGCGGGUGUCCCCUUUCCCCCUCACCGUCCCAUGUGCGUCCCUCCUGAAGCUGUGUGCUCGGUCGAAGAGGACGGCCUCCCCGAAUACAGACGGACCGGUCUUGGGUCGAGGGUGUACGAGUCGCUGCGCUCCCCUGCCAGGACCUCCAGACAAGCUCCCAAGGUCCAGAGUCCAGGUUCAAUCCCCUGAGCCACCAUAAGU
rnacentral:snRNA from 1 species